CCAAAGUCUUGGCUUGUUACAUUAAACAUUUUUGUUCAGUUUUGUUUCACGCCACCUUCUUGAAAAGUCUCUAUGGACCUUUCUCAAUUAGAAGUGCAGUAUUUAUUUAAGCACUGUCAGAAGUAUUCUGAGCAGCCAAAGCUGACAACACAGAAAUUAGAUCAGGUUGUCUGACUUCGGAGGGGAUAUUUCUUCUGAAAGUGCACACGCUAAUUUAAAUACAUACCCAAACAAAUCAGCCAGACGCUUAACUACACAGCUGCAGACUGUAACACAUUCUGCCAUGACAUAAUUCUAGAAUAUAUUAGCAUCACGCCUAAACAUGCCCAGAUAGGCAAAUAGCUUUGUGCAGGAACAUUUCACAAGGUGUCUUGACAACAAAACAGGAAAAGGGGUGGAGAAAGAUGCAACAACCCAUUUUUCUGUUGCAUCCAGUACAAGCACCAAGAUGACAAGAUUUCUUUGACCUCAGUUCACCCUUGUCUGCUUGAAGAAUCCAAGACUUGUUUUCCCCAUUGUUCGAUGCCAUUCCCUGCUUUGCACAGGUAGAGAUAGGACUGGUUUGCAUAGAAGGGUCCGGCACCUGAGGCUGUAGCAUCAGAUGAUGCUUUACAGUCUUGUGAGUAGUCUGUCACAGAUAUACCGUCAACCACAGAACUUGAUUAUCACCUGAAACACAAAGUUUUCCCCCAGAGUCCAACACAUCCAGUUGCCAGUUAUCAAGUGCCGAGAAAGAAAACAGAUCAAGUGAUGCACCAGCUGCACAUGUGAGCUGGUUCAUCCCCUUGUCAACAUCCUGUGGGCUAUUAAGGGCCAGAUCACACAUGUGUGAUCUCUGUCUCUCAUUACUUCAUAUUGAAUGCAUGGACAGUUUUGUAAGGGCAUAAGCAGAGCUUCGCUUGAUCAAGACAAUGUCCAGAGAGACUAGGCACAGGGUUUCUCAGAGUGGCCAACCAGAACCUUUUGGAAAGCCAGACAAUGUAGCUGCUUCUCUCCUUCCUUAGGAGUAAUGCUAACAUGGAAAAUGAUCAUAUUGUCUUCCUCCCAAAUAAGCAGAGUAGUCCAGAGCCAACAACCACAUGACUCCCAGAAGAUCUGGCCCUAAAUUAGGAGGUUCCAGUUAAAUCAGUGGGACUGCACUUACAAAUAAGUGUGUUUAGUAUCUGAAUGUAAACUUUGCAGAUGUGAAAGACAAAGAUACACUUUGGAAAAAGCUUCUGGCUUUCACCUCCCAUCCCUUGACGAGAGCGCUUUGGCUCUCGCAGCGACAGGGAUCACAAGAUGCGUUCUCCCUACCAUCUCAGCAACAAAGGAUGGACACCCAGACUAAGUGAUGGGCACCCACGGCAGGCAGAGAGUGGCACCCAGCUGUUCAGCAGGCAUGAAGAAGGGAAGGCAAGAAAGGAGGCGCCCAGGCCAGGGGAGAGCAUAACACCGGCCCCCAUAGAGACCAGCUCCGGCCUGUGAGGACUGUUGGGGCAGCCCGUCCCCGCCACCUUCCCAGGAGUACCGGAAAGACGAGUGUGCCCUGAGCGGAAGGCAAGAAAGGAGACGGCCUGGCCAGGGAGCUCUUGCCCUCAGCUCCUGCAAAGACCAACAGCCUGAGACAACGUUUUAUUGAUCUGUUAUUUGCUUCUUUUAAUAUUGUAAACCGCUUUGGGUGCCUUUGUCAAGGCAGAAAGGCGGUAUUAAAAUGUAGUAAAUAAAUAAUACAUAAAUGUAGGUUUUUGAUUUUUCAUAUUGGCUCGUACAUACUCAUCUCUCUGUGUGUGUCCCCUGCCUCCAUCCACACACAAGGCUUCUGGCUUGAGGUCUGUACUCUCAGCACUAACAGCAGCUUAGGCCAUAUCAAGCUGGAUUGCUGCAACUGAUAUAUAAAUGCUGUUAAAUGUUGGUUUCAGAAACCGCCUCCAGGGUUUGUUAAGUGUGUUUCCAAAACAUUGGUCAAGGUCAGCACCCUAGAAUGGAAACUUUGCAGGAUGAACAGUUGAAGCCUAUUGGUGCUGUGAACUGACAAGACAAAGGUUUUGACUGAAAGUAUUCACCAAACCUAUCUUUUAGCGUAAGCAACUUGACUAAUUCAGACACAGAAUUAGCAGGCAUUUACGUUUAGUCUACACAUCCCAUGGUAUCCAAGGGUUGCUGUGCACGUAAUGUUUUGCAUACCUUGAGAUAUAAUCUUUGAAGGGAUUUAAAAAAUCAUGGACACACUGUAUUUUUUAGGGGUGCACAUAUGCAGUUUUAAGUUUGCACUUUAAUGUGAAUUUAUGAACUUGAUACACUCAUAUUUGCAAGUGUGUUUAUCAUACAAGUAUACUUGAUAGGGAGCUGUGAUUGGGUGCAUCCCCUAUGGGAAAUCUAGGGUUUCCUCCAAGUAAUGUGAAAUGGCCAUGAUGCAUAUUUGAAAGUAGGGAUGUGGGACUGAAUUGAUUUUGCAUUCUUUUUUGAGCUUGAAAUGAAAUGCAAAAUGGCCAAAAUGUUCUGUCAAAACAGUGGCCAAGCUGGCUGUUCUGACGGAACAACUUGAAACAUUUUGAGUGUUUCCGCCAUCGGGAACAAUGGGGAACUCCAAACACCCCAUUGUUUCCAUGGGUAGCUCCUAGGGACACCAAAGUGGGUUGUGUGAUAGGGCAUGAUGGUUCCUAUCUGCUACCCACAAAAGAAAUGGGCAAGCAGGCAAUUUUAAACAAUUUUUUAACCUUUCUGCAAAAGCCCAUAGGAUCCUAUGGGGGAAAGGUUAAAAAUUUCUUUAAGAUUAGAUUAAAUGAUUUGGGUCACACACAUGCAUGUCCAGCAUUACGAUGACUAAAGCUGUAGUGAUCAGCCUCCCCUCCCCAUAAAGAGUUAAUAGGGAGUUAAUUCUUGUCUUGACUGACAGGCUGAUGAACUCCAAGGUAGCCAAUCAGUACACCAGGUGGGUGGGACCUAGAGAGCUCUUGCCCGGAAGAAGGGAGUUUUUUUGUUAGAAGCUAGGCUGGAAGUGAAGAGGGGACAUGUGGCAAUGGGGUUUGCUGCAACAGGAUGACUGCAGCUCUUGGAAAAUAGAACUGCAGGGGCCUGAUUCUCAACCAGAGUUUGGUGAGUUUAAGGAAAAAGAAAGCCAAGGCUAAUGGCUUCGCAAGUUCAGGGUAUGAAAAAGUCAUUUAGUAAGCGUUUGCGUUAGAAUUUCUGUUUCAUUGGUAUGUGCUUUUGCACAUUCCUGAUACUGUUCUAUUAUUGUUUACCUGUAAUGUAAUUAAAAUAAGAAACACUAGCCUACACUCAAUGCACCUAGGGCGUCGCAAAGACCUCUGUAAACAUUAAGCAUGCAUUAAGACAACCUAUUUUUGUAACUUACUAAGUAUUUUUAACUGUAUCUAAAAGCUGAGAAAGCCUCAGAUGGAAGCAGUCUGAAGUAAUUGAAUAAAACCUGGUUUUUUAGUUUUUAUUUUUACAAGUCUCUCUCAGUUGGUUUUUAACUCAGGAAAAGGGCGGACCGAAGUGGGAUUCCUCUAGUGCAAACAAGUCCUCAUAUAUUCAGCAGCUAUCAGUUUU